rnacentral:rRNA from 1 species
UACGUAGGGGGCAAGCGUUGUCCGGAAUCAUUGGGCGUAAAGAGCGUGUAGGCGGUUCGGUAAGUCGGCUGUGAAAGUCCAGGGCUCAACCCUGGGAUGCCGGUCGAUACUGCCGGACUAGAGUUCGGAAGAGGCGAGUGGAAUUCCCGGUGUAGCGGUGAAAUGCGCAGAUAUCAGGAAGAACACCAAUGGCGAAAGCAGCUCUCUGGGACGGUACUGACGCUGAGACGCGAAAGCGUGGGGAGCGAACAGG